GGUGGUAAUGCCGGAUGCUCCAGUUGAUCGCAUGGUCUUCUGGGAAAGCUUUCGCGGUAUGGGAUGGGGUCGCGUCCUAUCAGCUUGACGGCGGGGUAACGGCCCACCGUGGCUUCGACGGGUAGCCGGCCUGAGAGGGCGACCGGCCACAUUGGGACUGAGAUACGGCCCAGACUCCUACGGGAGGCAGCAGUGGGGAAUAUUGCACAAUGGGCGCAAGCCUGAUGCAGCGACGCCGCGUGAGGGAUGGAGGCCUUCGGGUUGUAAACCUCUUUUAUCGGGGAGCAAGCGAGAGUGAGUUUACCCGUUGAAUAAGCACCGGCUAACUACGUGCCAGCAGCCGCGGUAAUACGUAGGGUGCAAGCGUUAUCCGGAAUUAUUGGGCGUAAAGGGCUCGUAGGCGGUUCGUCGCGUCCGGUGUGAAAGUCCAUCGCUUAACGGUGGAUCCGCGCCGGGUACGGGCGGGCUUGAGUGCGGUAGGGGAGACUGGAAUUCCCGGUGUAACGGUGGAAUGUGUAGAUAU
rnacentral:rRNA from 2 species